rnacentral:tRNA from 1 species
GGAGAGGUCGCUAUUGGCAGGGCAAGCUGUUUGCUAAACAGUUGUGGAUGUAAAUCUACUGGGGGUUCGACUCCCUCUCUCUCCA